GUGAACACACAACCUGGAAAGCUUAUCUACAGAAAAGAUAAAUAGCAAGACCAACGCGUGGAGCGACAAAACGCGGCCCAACUGUGUUCAAAACACGGUGUGAGAGAUCGGUCAGGUUUUUUUUUUCCCCUUAGACCUUGUUUCAACUGGUCUUUGUGUCAGAUUGGAUAUUGGACCAACUGUUCUGGAUUUUGAUGGCGAGCUAACCACUUGGAUCUAGAUUGAGAUAACCUGGAUACCUCUUUGCUGCAUUCUCUUGGUGUGGUAGGACAAAAAACAAACAAACUUGGAGCUAAUACCUCACCAUUCAGCAUUACGCUGUGCCUUACAUUGACAGGACUUUGACCAUUUUUUUAAAUGGACUUCUUUUGAUUAAUAUCCCGGGAACUGUGAACUGAAUAUCUUUUUGUUAGGACAAUUUUGACUGAACAAUUGCACAUGUGUAAUUUUGCAUAAGGAUUUGAAACAAUUUCCCAUGCUGAAGAAAAAAAAGUAUUUGAACUUUGAUUGUGCCACUAUUUUUGGGGCAAUAGAUUGAAAAUCAGAAAUUCCAGUUAGACUAAAAGGUACUGCCUAAAUAUUCUAACUUUGGAAGGGUGCACCCAAACCAACCCAAAAUCGAAAAUAUUGACUUAAUUAAUUGGCCAA